rnacentral:rRNA from 1 species
UACAGAAGGUGCUAGCGUCAAUCGGAUUUAUUGGGCGUAAAGGGCGCGUAGGUGGUAAAGCAAGUAAGAUGUGAAAGCCCUGGGCUUAACCUGGGAAGUGCAUCUUAAACUGCUUAACUAGAGUAUGGUAGAGGGUAGUGGAAUUUCCGGUGUAGCGGUGAAAUGCGUAGAUAUCGGAAGGAACGCCAGUGGUGAAGACGACUACCUGGACCAAUACUGACACUGAGGCGCGAGAGCGUGGGGAGCAAACAGG